rnacentral:lncRNA from 1 species
UAUAUGUAUAUAGGUUAAAUGUCUUUUAUCAGAUUUAAGUUUUUCAUAUAUUAUUUCUCAAACUUUUUGUGGUCUUAAUGGUGUCUUCUGUAAUUUUGAUGAAGUCCAAUUCAUUAUUUCUUUCCUUUACAGAUCAUGCUUUUGGUGUCAUAUCUAUGAAACUGAAGAACCGUCAGAGGGAUAAGAAGAAAACCAGAAAACGUGUCAUGAAACCCCAGAGAAGCAUGGCAUGUGGAAGGGACGAAGGAAGAGAACAUUAAUCUUGAACACUAGAGAAGAAAGGGAGAGAGAUGGAUGAUCUCAGAGCAGUAGAAAACAGCCUUUUAAACACCAUGACAGCAUGGAAUCUUCAUAGAAGGUAUGUCUGCUUUAGACUGUAGGACAAUCUCUUUUUUUCUUCUUUUUUGUUUCAAUCAAUGUGAUCACAAAGAGUCAACACAGGUUUGGUAGAGUGAGAAGAAGUAGUGCAGCCUAUUUGCUUGUUUGUUUGUUUUUCUGUUAUUUCAUCCUUAAAGGUAAACAAAACCCUCCAUUAUAUGUGCUUCUAAGGCUUUUAAAAAUCAAAGGAGACAGUGGGAAGUCCAGGUGAUAUGGAAAUAGUCUGAUAUUGUAUCUGCAAAGCCCCUAGCCUCAGCAGGCACAUCCUGGGUUCCAUUUCUCUGGUGUCCCUUCCCCUGCCCCGCUUCCCUGUUUGAAGUGGCUGGGCACAUUGCCUCCACCUGGAAGCUGAUAAGACACCCUCACUGCACACUGUCAAGGUUUUCCAAGAAAAAUAGCAAAGAAUGCAGUUGUGUUGAGGUACAGGAGUUGCUGACUGGCAGGGUCUCUGAAGAAUCAACAAGCCCACGUUUCUGCCUCCUGUCAUGUUGCUAAGCUGAUUCUCAGCUCAAAAUUAAUAAAAUUGAUGUGUUUUUGUAAAUCAACAAGUACAGAGCUUCAGCUCAUUUUCUGAAUCUCGAUGUGCCAAUUUAAGAACAUUCCCCUCUGCUCAGAAAUUACUCUGAAGAAUAUUUGUAGGAAAGGCAUUGCCCAGAAAGUGGUUGUAAUUUUGUGUAUGUUUGUUCAUAUUAAUGAUAAUUUGGCUAAUAUUUGUUGGGCACCACUGUGAGCUUGGCUCUGUGCUUGGCAGUGGGGUCAGAGCGGUGAACAAGUCUCUACUCUGGGGAUGUUUCAAUAUUUAAGGAAAGAACUUGGUUAUUUUUGAGGUGGUAUUGCAUAGAAGAAUUGAACAUUGAAAACACGGUUUAAAAACAAACGGUAUUAAACACUACAUAUAAGUCCUCAAAGAUUUUGCUUUUUGUCCUUUUAUUAGGGAGGAGCAUUUAAUAUCAAAAUUACUAUCUGAGUGGCCAUAAUUCAAGAGAAAAAAACUGCAGAGGCUUGUGAUUUUAGUAGGAGAAUUUUUUGUAGCUAUCUGUCUCACAAAGAACAUCUGUGGGAUGCAUUCUUAUUUGAAGGAAGUUUAACUGUCUCGGAGCUUUUGUGUUUUUACAUCGAGGAGCGUACAUUUGAAGGAGAAGUUUCUAUCCUUAUAUUUCAAGCAGAUUUGCAUCAAAGCAUAAGCUUCAUGCACUGUUCAAGACCUUCCCACUAGGUUGUAUCCUAUUAUUUUGCAUAAUUGUAACCAUACUUCGGUGCUGCAUUGAUUCUCUAACCAUUUCCUUUGGGAUAAUCGGAAACAUCUCUUUUGAGAUUGAGUCAGGAAUGUAGAAGUAGAACUAAUCAGGUUCCUGUGGCGUGUACCCGUUUCAAACCACCGUGCUCUUGGAGCUUUCUCCAUUUCUUUCUGUGGUAUGUCCGUUUACUGGAAAUAAUCGCCUCAAAACAACUAGGUCUAUCUUGCUGAGUUUUACCCGAUGGUUUACCUUUUCUCUCAUCUUCUCUUUCCUCUUGCCUUCAUGCCUCCCCAUACUUCAGGAGUUAUGCUCCUUUUCUUUGUGACAUUUACUUGAUGAGUAUGACUGUAAAGACACUGUUAAUGUCUCCCCUCGCCCCCACCCUCCCCACUCAUCUUUGUGUCCUGGAUAAGGGAGAGCUUUGAUUUGAGGGAACUAAGAGUGAAUGGUGAGUGAGCAGGCUGGAGCUCCUUGGGAGCCAGGCCAUGCAUCAGCUCCAACAAGCCCCGCCACUCAGGUGCAGCCAUCU